UACGUAGGUGACAAGCGUUGUCCGGAUUUACUGGGCGUAAAGGGCGCGUAGGCGGUUCAUACAGUCAGAUGUGAAAUUCCCGGGCUUAACCUGGGGGCUGCAUUUGAUACGUGUGGGCUUGAGUGAGGAAGAGGGUUGUGGAAUUCCCAGUGUAGAGGUGAAAUUCGUAGAUAUUGGGAAGAACACCGGUGGCGAAGGUGGCAACCUGGUCCUUUACUGACGCUGAGGCGCGAAAGCGUGGGGAGCAAACAGG
rnacentral:rRNA from 1 species